rnacentral:rRNA from 1 species
UACAGAGGGUGCAAGCGUUAAUCGGAAUUACUGGGCGUAAAGCGUGCGCAGGCGGUUUUGUAAGACAGGCGUGAAAUCCCCGGGCUCAACCUGGGAAUUGCGCUUGUGACUGCAAGGCUGGAGUGCGGCAGAGGGGGAUGGAAUUCCGCGUGUAGCAGUGAAAUGCGUAGAUAUGCGGAGGAACACCGAUGGCGAAGGCAAUCCCCUGGGCCUGCACUGACGCUCAUGCACGAAAGCGUGGGGAGCAAACAGG